CUCUGUUCGUGGUGCGCAGAUCCAGCGGCGCUGUGGCAACCGACUGGUGGUCACCGUUCAUAGUCAUGAUCCUCGGCAUCAACUGGUGGCGAAGCGCUCAGGAUCUGAGGAAGUUUCAGAUUGAUGACAUAUCACCAGACUGCAGACUCGAAGUUUAACCUGGACCAAACCAAACCAAAGGUGGAAUAAGAAGAACAAACGAGGAAUUCAGAGAGAAGAUCCAACCCGAGUGACUGAUCAGUUAAUGUCAUGUUACUGCUACCCUGCAUGCGGCCAUGUUGGCUUAUUCCAUCUACAAAAAAAUGUGCAUACACAAUCAUGCAUUUGCACAGACACAAACACAAAUCACACCUCAUCUCCUUGUCUUUAAUCUUAUCCCUCCCCGCCCUCAUACCAGGUUCUGAUUACCAGGGUCAAUUUGGGACUUUCCUCUUUCCACUGAAGUGUGGGGUGGGCAACGGAAAGUCAAGCUUGGCUUCUAAAGUCCCUAAAACACCCUGACACUACACAAACAUACUCUGCAGCUGUCAGGGCACUCAACCAUUGUGGUCUCCUCUGGUGUACGGUAUCACUGUGUAUGAAAAAUACUGGCCUACCUCUUUUACAGCCAGUCUCAUCCUGAAUGCACACUUGACAGAGCUUACUACUGAGUGAAUGAGACACAGACGGAGGUUUAACAAUCUUCUCUAAGAGUAUAUACAUGUGUGUAAAUAGAAAACCCCAUACACUUUUAAUAUUUAGGGGUUCAGUACUCCUGCAUGGUGAAUGGAGAGAAGCCAUCAGUUGCAGAAAUAAUGAGGAUAUCACAUACACAUAAAAAAAACGAUGAAAUGGGGCCCCCUUGUGCCAAGAGAGCAAAGGUGCAAAUAGACUCUCAAACAAGCUGGACUGCGUCAUAGGUUUGUGCAGCUGGUUUCAGCCCUUUAUCUUUUUGCUUCCCUCCUACUCUCUGUGCUCACAUAUAUAGUAUUUUAAUACAGCUGACUUUCCAAUAAAGCUGUUCUCAUUCAUG